AUGACCGGGUUUUUUCAGCAGAGGAGGAAUGCCGCCGGAGAGCUCGGGCAUAGCACCUUUCAGAAGGUGACAGACGCUUUGCGUAUGUUGGCAUAUGGUAUCCCCGCUGAUCUAGUUGAUGAUCACUUGGCCAUGGGUGAGAGCCAAGCCAUCAUGUGUGUCAAGCGCUUCGCAGUCGGAAUUGUGCAAGUGUUUGGCCCGGAGUACUUGAGAACUCCCAAUGCUGAAGACGUAGCAAGGCUAUUAGUGAUGAACAAGGCUCGAGGGUUCCCAUGUAUGUUUGGCUCAAUAGAUUGCAUGCAUUGGAGUUGGAAGAAUUGUCCAAAGGCAUGGCAUGGCCAAUUCCAUGGACAAAAAAAAGGGUUCCACUAUAAUCCUUGA
rnacentral:rRNA from 1 species